rnacentral:lncRNA from 1 species
UUUCAAGAGGGGCCCUGAAGCAGGGGGGCUGUUUUGGGACAAAGUAGCUCAAGCUGUGCAUUCCCUCCAAAUGAUUAAGCUUAAGAACACACAGAUGAGUCAUUUGAACAGCGUUUAAAACUCAGCCAUGGCCAAAUUUAAUGCAUCACUUGGACUGAGUAAUCGGGACAUCUCACAAAUCUCAGAAGCAAGUGAGAGCAGAAUCUGGAGCCUGCUCUUUGUAUUUCAGCAGCUCGCACUCCAAAUCUAUUUGCAAACAGAUACUGAGAAGCCCGAAAGAGAAUACUUUACAUCUUAAAUCAACUGGAAGGCAUCUAAAGCCAAGGGAUUGAAACGUCUGCUUUCAUUCCUAGAAAGAGCAGCAACUGGAAAGUGGAACUGGACAUAAACAAGAGCUUGGAUCCAAACAGCCUCCAAACUUGGAUCUGCCUGAACUCUGCAGCAUACCUCACUGUAUGCCUGGCCUAAAUGAGACAAAGAGGACUACUUGAGUGCAUCCACCUCUGAACCUCAACACCUGAAUAGAUCUUGCUUGGAACCAGCAAUGGGGCAUUUCAUGCUGAUCAGCAUUGACCAAUGUGAUCCAACAGAUGCAUAUUUAAGUCCCCAUCCCAACUCCAAGCAACAAGAAAUGAGAGCUGGAAGGGACAACUUGGGUCACCCAGGCCCGUUCCACGAUCUCACAGCCAGCAACAUCACGCAACCCCUUUCCUUGAAAGGGUCAAGGAGCCAUGCAAAACUUUUUCCCUAGGUUUCCAAAUUGUGGAUCCGUCUCUCAUUUUAAACACUCGGGUAACAAAAAUUCACUUUGCCAGCAGGACUUUACAAUUAAAUCUCUUUCUUCUACUUGCUGUUGUUUUCCUCUCCAGGCCACAUGAUCUAUGCUGCUUCUUUCAUCCAUUCAAUUAAAAAAUUCUGGCUUGAACAGUCAACUUCGAUUGUCUGUUUGACCUUUCUAUUUGCCUUGUACAUACUUAACACAAAAGAAUGGGAAAGUAACAUCCUGUUUAGAAUCUUGGAUCUCCACACCCUCAGCAAUGAAUCAGUGAACUUGGCAUGAGUGCCUAGCACGUUAACAAGCCUGACGGACUUUCAGAACAUGUCAUCAUCAAUCCAAAAAGACAAUACAGAACGUAAGUAAGCUUGCACUGAAUCAUGUCCUCCUCAAUGUUCAAAUUCUAAUUACAGUUAGAAAGCUAAGGUUAUCCUGCUCCCCACAGGGGAAACAUAAAGGAAAGAAAAGGCCACGUUUUACUUCUUAUGAGAACAAGAACAGCACCAAAUGAAGAAUAGUGUUGUAGAGAAGAUUUGCAGAUUGCUCUGGUGC